UACGGGGGGGGCAAGCGUUGUUCGGAAUUACUGGGCGUAAAGGGCUUGUAGGUGGCCAACUAAGUCAGACGUGAAAUCCCUCGGCUUAACCGGGGAACUGCGUCUGAUACUGGAUGGCUUGAGUGUGGGAGAGGGAUGCGGAAUUCCAGGUGUAGCGGUGAAAUGCGUAGAUAUCUGGAAGAACACCGGUGGCGCAAGCGGAUUGCUGGGCCAUAACUGACACUGAGGAACGAAAGCUAGGGGAGCGAAUGGG
rnacentral:rRNA from 1 species